UACGAAGGGGGCAAGCGUUGUCCGGAAUCAUUGGGCGUAAAGCGCGCGUAGGCGGCCCGGUAAGUCACUUGUGAAAUCUCUGAGCUUAACUCAGAACGGCCAAGUGAUACUGCAGUGCUAGAGUGCAGAAGGGGCAAUCGGAAUUCUUGGUGUAGCGGUGAAAUGCGUAGAUAUCCGGAGGAACACCGGUGGCGAAGGCAGGUCUCUGGGCAUUAACUGACGCUGAGGAGCGAAAGCAUGGGGAGCGAACAGG
rnacentral:rRNA from 1 species